GUAGGUGAACCUGCGGAAGGAUCAUUCAUAAUAAGUGUUUUAUGGCACUUUUUUAAAUCCAUAUCCACCUUGUGUGCAAUGUCAGGGUUGAUUUUCUCUCGAGAGGAUCAACCCCAAACAUCAACUAUUAUCUCAACUCUUUGUCUGAAAAAUAUUAUGAAUAAAACAAUUCAAAAUACAACUUUCAACAACGGAUCUCUUGGCUCUC
rnacentral:misc_RNA from 1 species